rnacentral:rRNA from 1 species
ACGAGUGGCGGACGGGUGAGUAAUGUCUGGGAAACUGCCCGAUGGAGGGGGAUAACUACUGGAAACGGUAGCUAAUACCGCAUAACGUCGCAAGACCAAAGAGGGGGACCUUCGGGCCUCUUGCCAUCGGAUGAACCCAUAUGGGAUUAGCUUGUAGGUAAGGUAACGGCUUACCUAGGCGACGAUCCCUAGCUGGUCUGAGAGGAUGACCAGCCACACUGGAACUGAGACACGGUCCAG